AUAUUUGAUAAACGUAUAGGUAAAAAUAAAUAAAUAUAAAAAAAUAUGCUAAAAUAGUAUAAAUGCACAUUAAAAAAAUAAAAAUUUUCAGGUGAGAUCAAAAUACCUCUCUAACUAUGACAAAGGUGGCGAAAAUGACAAUGUGCUGGUGUUGACGAUAACAAUAUGCUACGAUGUACUGGUGCUAGCGAUGGGGAUAUAUGAAAAAUAUUUCAGAAAAAUAUAGGUGAAAAUAAAAAAGAUGUUACUAAAAAAAUAUGUCUUCUAAAAAAUAUAUUCUGUGUGUGAAUAAAUAUUAUGAUGAGAUAAAGAUUGGAUAGUGUAGAUAUUAUAUGCAAAGAUAUGUAGAUAUUAUAUGCAAGUGCAUUAAAACAUGUUCUAUAUUUGAGAAAUGCAUAAGAUAUUUUGGCGGGUAUUACUUUUGAAUAUUUUACUAAAAAAAAUUUAAAAAUAUAAAAUUAUAUUUAAUUAAUAAUUUAGUUUUGUUUAGGUGGGUAUUAAAUCUUUUUAGUAAUAUUUUACGUGAUUGGCCCAAGUAUUACGAAUGAGAAAGAAAAUAUUUGAAAAACACGUAAAUAAGAGAUAACGGAUAUUUUAAUUUAUGACGCGUUUGAGAAAACGUGUGUGAGAAACAAAAUAUUUAAGGUACCCCGUAGAUAUGAUAUAACGGAUAUUUUAAGUUAUAACGGGAAUUACGUUUGAGAAAAUGCGUAGAUAUUUGUAAAAUGCGUAGAUAGGAAAUAACGGAUAUUGAGGGUAUUUUUGUCAAGAAAAGUGACAGAUACUUUUAUUUUUAAUCGUUGGAUGAGAUCCAAUGGUAAAAAUUUAAGAUCUAUAUUUGAGAAUAAAUUAUUAUUUGAAAAAUUAUUUGAAACNAUAUCAAGUUAGUACCCUAUAAUUUUUUAAACCACAUGGUACUAAAGUGAGAAAGUGCGAAACUAUAUGGUACUAACUUGAUACACUAUAAACUACAGAAUACUAAAGUGAAAAAGUACAAAACCACUGGGUAUUAAUUUGAUACACUUUAAACCAUAUGGUACUAAAAUGAGAAAAAGUGAAAUCACAAUAGGGGUAUUUGAAGUUUUCCCUCGAUAUUAUAAUGCAGAGAGUUUUUAUAGUGUU
rnacentral:lncRNA from 1 species